UUUUAAUGCUCAUGCAAACAAGCACUCAGUUGGGUCUCAUCAGGCCACAGUGCCUCGACCUCCUAUUUUCAGACCCAGAAUUAACUUUGAGCAAAGCAGAGGGCCCUUAUUUUGCAGAUAUUGCAAGAAAUCUGAGCACUUAAUUGAUAAGUGCUACAAGAUACAUGGGUUCCCUCAAAGCAUAAAUUACAACAAGGGNN
rnacentral:lncRNA from 1 species